AUUUUGAUUUUGAAAGUAAUCACAAUAAUUUCAAAUAUUUGUGCAUUCAUACGGAGAAUAAAUAAUUUUUCUUUUAGCGUGAAUGUUUAAAUAUUUGAAAUAAAUACCUCAGCUUUUGAAUCAAAGAUAAUAUAUGUUAAAAAUAACAAUUAUACAUUGAAAAUGAAAAACUACACAUUUAUAUUAAAUGUGCAACGUUGUGUUGUCAAAAAUAAAAUUUUACUUUUGAUUUAAAAGUACUGUUUUAUGAAAUCAAAUGCAACAAGCAUUUAUUUAAUGGGUAAAAUUUAAUAUUGACAUUUUUGUUUACGUCUUAAUAUUAUCUGUAUUUAUUUCAAAUGAAAAAGACUUUUUAAACAAUUGUUUCAAAAUUUUAUUUCAAAUGAUUUUUUUUUCUAUCUAAACAUUAAAUGACCAGGUAUUAAAUUGAAUUGUGAGAAACUUUUCUGUAUAAAAUAUGCAUUUCAUUUAAAUGUAAAAAUGAAAUAACUUUGAGUAAAUAUUUGAUACGAAUGGUUUUUGUCGUUAAAUAUAAAUAACAGUGGUUUUUACAUUUACUGCAGUCGUCAUAAUUUGAAAAAUUAUUCAUUUAAAUUAGGGUGAAAAUUAAAUUCCUUUCAUCAUAAAUAUCAAUACGUUUUAAGUGAAUAACUACUUAUUCUAAUCGAAUACAAUAUGUAAAAAUAAUUACAUUUUAUUAUUUAAACUUAAACUUUAGCCAAAUGAAACAACAUGUCAUUUGCAACUAAUUUCACAUUUUCGUAAAAACCCUCUUUUUCUCAUAAGUUCGUAAAACUACAGCUAGGGGUGCUAUAAUUAAAAAGAAAACUUUCCAAUUUUCUAAGUUAAUUAGCUCCGGCUCUAUAGCACGGAUCGGGCUGAAAUUUUGGUAGAGGGAGCGGAUUGAGCUAAAAAUUCUUCAUGAAUCUCUCUUAAACAUGCCUAAGAAACUUACUUAUGUUAUAAAGAAUAAGGUAAAUACCAAUUAUUAAAGCAUUCUUAUUGAUUAGGUUUUUUAAAUUUUCAUUUUAAAAAAAUUGAAUGAAUUUCGCUCUAAAUCAUCCAAAAAUUUAAUAUUUGGCUGGCGUACACGCACGAACGCAAAUGCACGAGGGUCAGUGUAUUGUGUUCUUCAAAUGACGUGAUUUGCAUAAAAUAAAUAAUAUUACUUUCUAUAUGCAUUGAUUAUAACAAUUAAUAAUUUGAAUGAAAUUUAUAUUUAUUUAGAAUGAAAAACCAAUCAAAUCUAAUACUAUUUUUUGAAUCAAUAGCAUAAGUAUUUGAAAAAAAGGAAACUACAUUCAGAUCUAUGACUGAUUCCAUCAGUACGGAAAACAUUAAAACGAGUCAGUCUUGAAGAAGCCGCUGAGUUGAAAAGUUGUCACACAAAUUAUUUCCAAUCUAUUUGAAAAUGAAAAAAAAACUAAAAAAUGGUUACAGUGGAUAAGUAAACUUAUAAAGUUGCAAAAAUCAUCAAGUGAUCGACAAAGAAAUUUGAUAAAGUGUUGGAAAUCGUUAGAUUGGUUCAAUCGAUCAUCCUGAUUGCAAGUCAUUGUUGAUUGGAAACGUCCGUGAGCAGAAGCUGGAAAAUUAUCACCAUAUCUGUUUUAUCGAACUACUUUUCUUCAAAAAUUCCAUCUAGGAGAGACCUAAAUAGUAUCAAGGUAAGAAAAUUGAUUUUUUUUGUAAUGCAAUAAGAAUUACAUAAUUUGUGAAAGUUAGCAUUGAUCUUUACAAAGAAAUAUUGGACCUCGCAUAAUUUUUUUAUUAUAAAAAUGUUAAUUAUAUCAACUUAUUUAUGUUGAAUAUGUAUUUUCAAUUAUCGCUUUGGAAAAUAUCAUACUGGAAAAGUUUUUAAUUUCAUUUUUAUUUUUAUUCUUUCUUUUAUCAAUCGUGGUAACCGUUGAACCGUUCACUGGGAAAAGGACAAUCAUUGUCUUUUCCAUGGAAUUGGAAAAGUGAUUCGCAGAUAGCAGCAGAACUCAGAGCAAACAGUAAAGGACGUAAAUCUGCAAAACACAACUUAGAAAAGUGAGCGCUGUAAUAAAAGUAGACGAGGAGCACUACCACUGAUCAAAUUUCAUUAUGUCAUCGUUUAUCUUUACGGGGCAAAAGACAAUCAGUCUUUUGAAGUAUCUUAUUUCUUCUGAAACUGGUAAACACUAUUGGGAGAAAGCAGAAGAGCAUACAUCCAAAAGCUGAGAAGAAGACUUCACGAAACUACUAGAAAGUCGUGCAACACCCCAUAGAAAUUAAUGUAAUACAAUUUUAUUGUGAAUACACAUUAUUUAUGUCAAAUAAAUUUAUUUUUGAAAUCAUAGCAAGAGUUUUUUAAAUAUACCCUGGUACUGUUAUAUCUACCCGAGGAUAUUAUUUGAAUUAAUGUGGACGAAUAUCAAAGCAAACAUAUUUGCCAUUGAAUCUAUGGUAAAGAACAUUUAAAUAUACCAAGGAAAUUUUUAAUUUUACCCAUUGUGUAUUUAAAUUAAUGGUAACUCGUAGUUAAAACAAAUAUUUCUACUAUUGAAACUAUGGUAGUGUUACCCAGAAAUUUUUGAUUCUACCCAUGAAAGUGUUUAAAAUCCACUUUAGAAAUAAAGUGCAAAUGUAUUUGAUUUAAAAGACAUGUUUUCUUUUCAAAUACAGUGCCAUUCAAAAUAAAUACAAAUAUAUUUGUUGUGGCUAUGAUUACUGCCUUUCAGAUCAAAUGUAAAAAUAUUUGAAGUAAAAGUCGUCUGUAUUCAAAUCAAAUAAAACAUUAGAAACAAAUGUAUUCUACCAUUGGGGCCAAAAUACCCAUAAUUUCAUUUGAUUUUACCCAGAAAAACAUUAAUACUACCCAUAAAAUUUUUCUCG